rnacentral:rRNA from 1 species
CCUACGGGCGGCAGCAGUGAGGAAUAUUGGUCAAUGGACGAGAGUCAGAACCAGCCAAGUAGCGUGAAGGAUGACUGCCCUAUGGGUUGUAAACUUCUUUUAUAAAGGAAUAAAACGAGGCACGUGUGCCUUUUUGCAUGUACUUUAUGAAUAAGGAUCGGCUAACUCCGUGCCAGCAGCCGCGGUAAUACGGAGGAUCCGAGCGUUAUCCGGAUUUAUUGGGUUUAAAGGGAGCGUAGAUGGGUUGUUAAGUCAGUUGUGAAAGUUUGCGGCUCAACCGUAAAAUUGCAAUUGAUACUGGCAGUCUUGAGUACAGUUGAGGUAGGCGGAAUUCGUGGGGUAGCGGUGAAAUGCUUAGAUAUCACGAAGAACCCCGAUUGCGAAGGCAGCUUACUAAACUGUGACUGACAUUGAUGCUCGAAAGUGUGGGUAGCAAACAGGAUUAGAUACCCUUGUAGUC